UACAGAGGGUGCAAGCGUUAAUCGGACUUAUUGGGCGUAAAGGGCGCGUAGGCGGUUAGAUAAGUGGGAUGUGAAAUACCUGGGCUCAACCUGGGCUGUGCAUUCCAGACUGUCUGGCUAGAAUCUAGCAGAGGGAAGUGGAAUUUCCGGUGUAGCGGUGAAAUGCGUAGAUAUCGGAAGGAACGCCGGUGGCGAAAGCGACGGACUGGAUCUCUUCUGACGCUGAGGCGCGAAAGCCAGGGGAGCAAACGGG
rnacentral:rRNA from 1 species